GUUAAUGUAGCUUACAUAAAGUGUGGCACUGAAAAUGCUAAGACAGAUCUUAAAAAUCUCAUGAACA
rnacentral:tRNA from 1 species